ensembl:lncRNA
CAGCUCUGUAUUUCAACAUGCCAGGUAGACUGACUUUAUUACACAUCCAGUCAGCUCUGUAUUUCAACAUGCCAGGUAGACUGACUUUAUAACACAUCCAGUCAGCUCUGUAUUUCAACAUGCCAGGUAGACUGACUUUAUCCAGAAUGACUUACAGGAGCAAUUAGGGUUGAGUGCCUUGCUCAAGGGCACAGCGACAGAUUUUUCACCUAGUCGGCUCGGGGAUUCAAUCCAGCAACCUUUAGGUUACUGGCCCAUGUUCUUAACCACUAGGCUACCUGCUGAAGCUGGUUUAUAUAGACAAAGAACCAUAGUAGUAGUAUUUCACAUACUGCUAGAUAUCUAACUUACAUGAUGUAUAACAGUCAUUUACAAAAAUGUCAUGCCAUCUAGAAUAAUUAUGGUGUUAACUUGCUUGAAAGAACCAGACUAUAGGGAAGUAGUGCACUACAGUGGCAAGAAAAGUAUGUGAACCCUUUGGAUUUCUGCAUAAACUGGUCAUAAAAUUAGAUCUGAUCUUCAUCUAAGUCACAACAACAGGCACACAGUCUGCUUAAACUAAUAACACACAUGGUUAUAUUUUUGGAUAAAGUAUGUGAACCCCGAGGCUAAUGACUUCUCCAAAAGCUAAUUGGAGUCAGGAGUCAGCUUACCGGGAAUACAAUCAUUGAGAUGAGAUUGGAGAUGUUGGUUAGAGCUGCCUUGCCCUAUAAAAAAAAAACUCACACAAUUUGAGUUUGCUAUUCACAAGAAGCAUUGCCUGAUGUGAACCAUGCCUUGAAAAAAAGAGAUCUCAUUAGACCCAAGAUUAAGAAUUGUUGACUUGCAUAAAGCUAAAAGGGGUUACAAAAGUAUCUCUAAAAGCCUUGAUGUUCAUCAGUCCAAGGUAAGACAAAUUGUCUAUAAAUGGAGAAAGUUCAGCACUGUUGCUACUCUCCCUAGGAGUGGCCGUCCUGCAAAGAUGACUGCAAGAUCACAGAAUGAUUAAUAAGGUUAAGAAUCUUAGUGUAAGCUAAAGACUUAGAAAUCUCUGGGACAUGCUAACAUCUGUUGACAACACUAAACAAGAAUGAUGUUCAUGGGAGGACACCACGGAAGAAGCCACUGCUGUCCAAAAAAAACAUUGCUGCACGUCUGAAGUUUGCAAAAGUGCAUCUGGAUGUUCCACAGCGCUACUGGCAAAAUAUUCUCUGGACAGAUGAAACUAAAGUUCAGUUGUUUGGAAGGAACACAACACUGCUUGGAGAAGAAAAGACACAGAACAUCAAAACCUCAUCCCCACUGUAAAGUAUGGUGGAGGGAGCAUCAUGGUUUGGAGCUGCUUUGCUGCCUCAGGGCCUGGAUGGCUUGCUAUCAAUGGAAAAAUUAAUUCCCAAGUUUAUCAAGACAUUUUGCAGGAGAAUGUAAGACUCCAGAAUAUAUAUUUUAGGUAAGAAAAGGGAGUAUGGGGAACACAGGAAAACAAAAUCAUGGAUCUCGUCAAAUAAAUAUGGUUAUUGUUAUCUGGAAUCAUUGUCCCCCAAAUUAAGCUCAACAGAAGUUGGUUGAUGCAACAGGACAACGGCCGAAAACACAGAAGUAAAUCAACAACAGAAUGGCUUCAACAAAAGAAAAUACUCCUUCUGGAUUGGCCCAGUCAGAGUCCUGACUUCAACCCAAUUGAGAUGCUGUGGCAUAACCUCGAGAGUGGUUCACACCAGACAUUACAAGAAUAUUGCUGAACAAACAGUUUUGUAAAGAUGAAUGGUCCAAAAUUCCUCCUGACCGUUGUCUGAUCCGCAACUACAGAAAACGUUUGGUUGAGGUUAUUGCUGUCAAAGUAGGCUCAACCAGUUAUUAAAACCAAGGGUUCACAUACUUCUCCCACCCUGCACUGUGAAUGUUUACACAGUGUUCAAUAAAGACAUGAAAACGUAUAAUUGUUUGUGUGAUAUUAGUUUAAGCAGACUGUCUAUUGUUGUGACUUAGAUGAAGAUCAGAUCAAAUGUUAUGACUAAUUUAUGCAGAAGUCCAGGUAAUUCCAAAGGGUUCACAUACUUUUUCUUGCCACUGUAGAUAGAAAAUAGGGCACCAUUUAUGGAGUGACAGAGGGAAAAUCUCACCGUCUUUAAGCUUCUUGUCCAAGGCUUUGUUCUUGUGAGUGAUGUCGCUCCUGGUGGCACGCAGCUUGUAGAGCGGGCCGGUCAUGGAUGGCAUCAUCCACUGGUGUGUGUUGACCUGGUCCAGAGGCAGGCGGGCGGUGGGCUGCCACUCUAACAGCUUCUUAAUCAGGUCCUGGCAGCCUGGAGGGGCACAGACAGCCAGGGAACAUUAGGACUGGAGCUUUUUAUGACAAACGUCUUUUUAUUGACUUUAAAUUAAUACACAUGUCAACAAGUAAAGACAGGCACACACCCUCCCCC